ACCCGGAGCUUGCUCUGGGGGAUUAGUGGCGAACGGGUGAGUAACACGUGAGUAACCUGCCCUGGACUCUGGGAUAACCCCGAGAAAUCGGAGCUAAUACCGGAUAGGACCCUGUGCCGCAUGGUGCGGGGUGGAAAGUUUUUCGGUCUGGGAUGGACUCGCGGCCUAUCAGCUUGUUGGUGAGGUAAUGGCUCACCAAGGCGUCGACGGGUAGCCGGCCUGAGAGGGUGACCGGCCACACUGGGACUGAGACACGGCCCAGACUCCUACGGGAGGCAGCAGUGGGGAAUAUUGCACAAUGGGCGAAAGCCUGAUGCAGCAACGCCGCGUGCGGGAUGACGGCCUUCGGGUUGUAAACCGCUUUUAGUAAGGAAGAAGCCGCAAGGUGACGGUACUUGCAGAAAAAGGACCGGCUAACUACGUGCCAGCAGCCGCGGUAAUACGUAGGGUCCGAGCGUUGUCCGGAAUUAUUGGGCGUAAAGAGCUCGUAGGCGGUUUGUCGCGUCUGCUGUGAAAACUAGAGGCUCAACCUCUAGCCUGCAGUGGGUACGGGCAGACUUGAGUGGUGUAGGGGAGACUGGAAUUCCUGGUGUAGCGGUGGAAUGCGCAGAUAUCAGGAGGAACACCGAUGGCGAAGGCAGGUCUCUGGGCACUUACUGACGCUGAGGAGCGAAAGCGUGGGGAGCGAACAGGAUUAGAUACCCUGGUAGUCCACGCCGUAAACGUUGGGCGCUAGAUGUGGGGACCUUUCCACGGUUUCCGUGUCGUAGCUAACGCAUUAAGCGCCCCGCCUGGGGAGUACGGCCGCAAGGCUAAAACUCAAAGGAAUUGACGGGGGCCCGCACAAGCGGCGGAGCAUGCGGAUUAAUUCGAUGCAACGCGAAGAACCUUACCAAGGCUUGACAUACACGAGAACGGGCCAGAAAUGGUCAACUCUUUGGACACUCGUGAACAGGUGGUGCAUGGUUGUCGUCAGCUCGUGUCGUGAGAUGUUGGGUUAAGUCCCGCAACGAGCGCAACCCUCGUCGCAUGUUGCCAGCACGUUAUGGUGGGGACUCAUGUGAGACUGCCGGGGUCAACUCGGAGGAAGGUGGGGAUGACGUCAAAUCAUCAUGCCCCUUAUGUCUUGGGCUUCACGCAUGCUACAAUGGCCGGUACAAAGGGCUGCGAUGUCGUAAGGCGGAGCGAAUCCCAAAAAGCCUGGUCUCAGUUCGGAUUGAGGUCUGCAACUCGACCUCAUGAAGUCG
rnacentral:rRNA from 1 species